CCUGUGAGGCAGAGAGGCCUCCAUUGGACACCAGAGAGAGGCCACUGGGUGACAGAAUGAUGCCAGCAAAACCUCCUGAUCCACCUUUUCAUGGGGGCAGAAGGGAAGCAGCGGCUGUGGAACCAGAUCAGGGUCCAGUCUGCUUUGAAGAUGUGGCCGUUCGUUUCACGGACGAGGAGUGGGCGUACCUGGAUUCUGACCAGAGAGCUCUGCAUAAGGACGUCAUGGAGGAGAAU